rnacentral:rRNA from 1 species
GUAGGGGACGAGCGUUAUCCGGAUUUACUGGGCGUAAAGCGCAUGUAGGUGGCUUGACAAGUUGGACGUGAAAGCUCCCGGCUUAACUGGGAGAGGUCGUUCAAAACUGGCAAGCUUGAGGUUGGAAGAGGAGAGCGGAAUUCCCGGUGUAGUGGUGGAAUGCGUAGAUAUCGGGAGGAACACCAGUGGCGAAAGCGGCUCUCUGGUUCAAUACUGACACUGAGAUGCGAAAGCGUGGGGAGCGAACGGGAUUAGAUACCCCGGUAGUCCACGCUGUAAACGAUGGAUACUAGGUGUAGGCGGUCAUUAACCCCGUCUGUGCCGAAGCCAACGCGUUAAGUAUCCCGCCUGGGGACUACGGCCGCAAGGUUAAA